rfam:Melissococcus plutonius ATCC 35311 DNA, complete genome.
GGUUGGAGCUUUUGCUUUCAAGGAUUUGACUUUUCAAGGGGUGAGAAAAG